AGAGUUUGAUCAUGGCUCAGGAUGAACGCUAGCGACAGGCCUAACACAUGCAAGUCGAGGGGCAGCGCGGGAGAAGCUUGCUUUUCCUGGCGGCGACCGGCGCACGGGUGCGUAACAGGUGUGCAAUCUGUCCUAUACCGGGGCAUAGCCCAGCGAAAGUUGAAUUAAUUCUCCAUGUGAGCGAGUGCCGCAUGACACACGCUUGAAACGUAAGGGUAUAGGGUGAGCACGCUUCUGAUUAGAUAGUUGGUGAGGUAACGGCUCACCAAGUCGACGAUCAGUAGGGGUUCUGAGAGGAAGGUCCCCCACAUUGGAACUGAGCCAGGAUCAAACUC
rnacentral:rRNA from 1 species